UCGCUUGUUUUACUAUAAUUAGUAAGAAAUAAGAGGAAAGUCCGAGCAACACAGAGCAUCAUACUGUCUAACGGACAGGCAGAAGUUUUUUAAUUUUUUCUUCUGACAGAAAGUACAACAGAAAAUAACCGCCUAUUGUCUUAGAAACCACAGACAAAAUGGUAAGGGUGAAAACGCAGGGUAAGAGCCUACGACCAUUGUUAGUGAUAACGAUGUGUGUGCAAACCUUAUGAGUUGAAAGUUCAAAUAUAUUGGCAUGCAGUAAUAUUUUUAUUAUUGUAAGACGGUUGCUCGCUGUUUGUCAAGGGGUAGAACGAUAGAGUCUUAUCGCAAGGUAAGAUGUAGAUUAAUGACAGAUGAAAAACAGAACUCGGCUUACAAAACC
rnacentral:RNase_P_RNA from 1 species